AUUGAACGCUGGCGGCAGGCCUAACACAUGCAAGUCGAACGAGUCGCGGACUUGUUACUAUUGUCUUCGAAACUGCCUCUUGGAGCCUGAUAACUACUGUAAACCGUAGCUAAUACCGCUUACCCUCGCUUGUUCCCAGAUGGGAUUAGCUAGUAGGUGGGGUAAAGGCUCACCUAGGCGACGAUCCCUAGCUGGUCUGAGAGGAUGACCGUCCACACUGGAACUGAGACACGGUCCAGACUCCUACGGGAGGCAGCAGUGGGGAAUAUUGCACAAUGGGCGAAAGCCUGAUGCAGCCAUGCCGCGUGUAUGAAGAAGGCCUUCGGGUUGUAAAGUACUUUCAGCGGGGAGGCGGUAGCCGAAGAAGAAGGACCGGAUAACUCCGUGCCAGCAGCCGCGGUAAUUG
rnacentral:rRNA from 1 species